UCCUGGACGUACCUGCUGUGUGCGCUGGGCCUCUUCAUCUACCAGUCCCUGGACGCCAUCGACGGGAAACAAGCCAGAAGAACCAACUCGUGUUCUCCUCUGGGAGAACUGUUUGACCAUGGGUGUGACUCUCUUUCCACAGUGUUCAUGGCAGUUGGAGCCUCACUGGCUGUCCGCCUGGGGACUCACCCGGACUGGCUGUUUUUCUGCUCCUUUAUUGGGAUGUUCAUGUUUUAUUGCGCUCACUGGCAGACCUAUGUUUCUGGCGUGUUGAGGUUUGGGAAAGUGGACGUAACUGAAAUUCAAGUAGCUUUAGUGAUGGUCUUUGUGCUGUCUGCACUUGGAGGAGCAACCAUGUGGGACUAUACGAUACCUAUUCUAGAAAUAAAAUUGAAGAUCUUUCCAGUUCUUGGAGUAGUGGGUGGAGCAAUAUUUUCCUGUUCAAAUUAUUUCCAUGUUAUCCUCCAUGGCGGCGUUGGCAAGAAUGGAUCCACUAUUGCAGGCACCAGUGUCUUGUCACCUGGACUUCACAUAGGAAUUAUUAUUAUACUGGCAAUAAUGAUCUAUAAAAAGUCAGCCACUAAUGUAUUUGAAAAACAUCCUUGUCUGUAUACCCUCAUGUUUGGAUGUGUCUUUGCUAAAGUUGCACAAAAACUGGUGAUAGCUCACAUGACCAAAAGUGAACUUUAUCUUCAAGACACUGUCUUUCUUGGCCCUGGUCUUUUAUUUUUAGACCAGUAUUUUAAUAACUUUGUAGACGAGUAUGUUGUUCUAUGGAUAGCAAUGGUCAUUUCUUCAUUUGAUAUGACGAUGUACUUUAGUGCUUUGUGCCUACAAAUUUCAAGACACCUUCAUCUAAGUAUCUUCAAGACUUCGUGUCAUCAAGCACCUGAACAGGUUCACAAGCAUAUUGACUAAUAGCCCAAGGAGAAGCAGUUAGGUGAACCCAUGAGUGAAGGAAAUCCCCCUAUCAAAUAAGGUUGUAUUUGUGUAUAAGACAUUAAGUCUUGCACAUUUCAUUAUCCUUAUUUCAACUGAAGUCCUCAUUAUGUUAACAUCAACAUUUUUAAUCACAGGUUCAAGUUCUUCCUUCAAAGAGUCAUCAGAAUAACAUGGAUUGAAGAGAUUUUCGAACACUUGCCAUCUCUUGCUGCUGCUGUCACAUGAAAGGAGAGAUAAUAAACAUGCUUAAUAAAUUUAGAUAAGUGUUCAGACAUUCAGCAAAUAAAAUAUUUCAUUGCUUA